rnacentral:lncRNA from 1 species
CGGAGGGUAUGAGGUCACCACGGGCAACGAUGUCCUGAGCAACACCAUGGGCUCUGGAGGAGUAAUCGGCGUGGGAGACACCCGCUACAAGUGGCUGGCGUGGAGCAAGUGGUAUUGCAACUGUGAGAUGGGUAGCAUGUCCCGGGUGCGGGACAUUGCCUACACGAGGCCCGGCCUGCAGCUAGAUCUGGACGACUACAACGCCCUGCGCUUCCAGCGCGUGGCUUGCAGCUAUGGCCACUGCAAGUGCAGCCACAAGCACCGUGAGUGCGACCAUGCCAAGGUGACCUGCAAUGCUCCCAACCCCUACCUGUGCGCUGUCAGGGACGUCCGGCAGGCCCGGUACCGCCAGGCUCGGCACUUCUGGAUACGAGUCCGCACGGAGCUCAAGGGGCUGUGGAAGAGCAUCCGAAAGGCCUUCUCCCAGCUCGAGGAGUACAGCUGAAGAUGAACUCUGAAUUCAAGGUUAAGCAGCUGCAGUCUCUGUUAGCAGCAGUUGGCAAUAGCAAUCAAUCACGCUAGUGCCUCCAAUGAAAUCUAUAGUAAAUGCUCUUUACAAAUCAGUAUCUACUCCUGUGCUUUAGUGGGAAAGUCUAUUGUUUCUAAAGGUGAGUGUCAUUUCAGCCCCUGUUCUGAGGCACGCUUGAACAAGAGAAGCCCCGAUGACCUGGACACUGGGAGGUUGGCAGUGCCACUGUACCCCCAUUGCUUUCCUCACCCACCAAGAGAGAACACAGCUGGGGCAGGGCGUAGGAUGCUAGACUAGAAGACCUAUCUUCAGGUCCCUCCUUUGCUACAGACGUGGCCCUUAGCCUCUCGGUAUCUCAAUUCCCCAUUUGUACAACAGGACUGCCCUACCUCACAGGGCGGUGUGAGGAUAAAUACAUUAAAUAGUGGGAGGUGCUCAGAUACUGUAGCUAAGCUAGAACCCAGGCAAAGGUAGUCUUCCUCCUCGCUUUGAAAUAGCCAGUUGCUAAAGGUCAAAAGUUUUCAGCAGGUAGAUCUGAAAAAGCCCUUUUAGACCAUCUAGUCUGAUUACCUGCCUGAAUGAAAUUGAUUUUGCCUAUAGCAAACAUAACAGCUAGUAAUAGAUUGAUCUCAACUUUUAUAGCUUUAAAAAGAAAAGGAUUGUUACUUAAACACAGAGGAGUUACUGCCAAUUGCACCAAGACAGUGCAGAACUACCCAUGGACGUGUUACUGUAGGGCUUCUCCUGCGUUCUUGGUAUCAAAUUUAAGUACAGGGCAGUAGGUCAAAUUUUGGAGCUCCCCAACUUGAACAUUAUCACUUUAAGUUGCAAGCAUGCUGGUAUCAUUGCUGUUGGUAAAACAUUAAUAGUCCAGACCUAUUAACCAUAAAAGUAUAAUGUUUGCGAUAACCCCCUCUUAAUAGAUGAAGGGCCUAAUUCUGACCUCACCUUGAUUUUACUCAAGAUUUUAGCUGGU